GAUGAACGCUGGCGGCGUGCCUAAUACAUGCAAGUCGAGCGAACAGACGAGGAGCUUGCUCCUCUGACGUUAGCGGCGGACGGGUGAGUAACACGUGAAUAACCUACCUAUAAGACUGGGAUAACUUCGGGAAACCGGAGCUAAUACCGGAUAAUAUAUUGAACCGCAUGGUUCAAUAGUGAAAGACGGUUUUGCUGUCACUUAUAGAUGGAUCUGCGCGGCAUUAGCUAGUUGGUAGGGUAACGGCUUACCAAGGCAACGAUGCGUAGCCGACCGGAGAGGGUGAUCGGCGACACGGGAGGUGGGACACGGACCAGGGUCCUACGGGAGGCAGCAGUAGGGAAUCUGCCGCAAUGGGCGAAAGCUUGACGGAGCAACGCCGCGUGAGUGAUGAAGGUCUUCGGAUCGUAAUACUCUGUUAUGAGGGAAGAACAAAUGUGUAAGUAACUAUGCACGGCUUGACGGUACCUAAUCAGAAAGCCACGGCUAACUACGUG
rnacentral:rRNA from 1 species